rnacentral:rRNA from 1 species
AGGAUAAACGCUGGCGGCGUGCAUGAGACAUGCAAGUCAAACGGGCCUUCAGGGCUUGCUCUGGAGGCCAGUGGCGGACGGGUGAGUAAUGCUUUGGAAUCUUCCCAGUAGUGGGGAAUAACCAGUCGAAAGAUUGGCUAAUACCGCAUACGUCUGUAAAGGGAAAGCGGGGGCUCGUAAGACCUCGCGCUAUUGGAUGAGCCAAAUUCGGAUUAGCUAGUUGGUGGGGUAAUGGCCUACCAAGGCGACAAUCCGUAGCUGGUCUGAGAGGACGACCAGCCACACCGGAACUGAGACACGGUCCGGGACUCCUACGGGAGGCAGCAGUGGGGAAUAUUGGACAAUGGGGGAAACCCUGAUCCAGCGACGCCGCGUGUGUGAAGAAGGCCUGCGGGUUGUAAAGCACUUUUAGUGGGGACAAAAAGCUACGGACUAAUAUUCUGUGGUCUUGAUUUAACCCAAAGAAAAGCACCGGCUAACUCUGCGCCAGCAGCCGCGGU